UUUAUUUUUAUUUUUUGUUAUGAUGGUUGAAAUAAUAUUGAUUCAAUUGGGGAAAGAUGUGGAAAAAUUAGACCAACCGUCCAACUUCCAAAUAUCUAUAAGAAUAAAGCAUUGUAUAAAAAAAUACAUUAAAAUGAAAUGUUUUUUAAUAGAAUUCGUUCAAACGUGCAAAUGGAUGGUGGUCAUUUGUGCAUCUAAUAGUAUUCUAUUUUAUGUGUCUACAGUUUAUUACGUGGUUACUACAUCCGAUUAUUACCUGUCAUUUACAUUAGGCGUAUCAAUAUUUGGUUUAAUGGUAAUAUUCUUCGUAGGUGGACAAACACUAACUGACAAGAAGUCAAUAACGCCCUUUGUAUUUGUCCUUGGCGGAAGUGGAAUCAAAGUAAUAAAAGCAAAUAUCUCCUGUUCUUGCAUUUGACGCAGCAACCUGUCCGUUUGACAUUCAUGGGAUUAGUUGAUGUUAAUUAUCAACUUUCUUUAAAGAUGUUUAAAAAAGUUUGGGUAUUUGCUUCUUGUUACAUCAAUAUCAAAAAAUGAGUUACUGAAGAUAAAUACAUAUAUUUCUAUACUAUAUAAA